rnacentral:rRNA from 1 species
AGGGGGCCUGAGAGGGUGACCCCCCACGCGGGCACUGAGACACGGGCCCGACUCCUACGGGAGGCAGCAGUAAGGGAUAUUGCGACAAUGGGCGAAAGCCUGACGCAUCAACGCCGCGUGGAGGAUGAAGGCCUUCGGGUUGUAAACUCCUUUUCUGUGGGAAGAGGAAGGACGGUACCACAGGAAGAAGUCUCGGCUAACUACGUGCCAGCAGCCGCGGUAAAACGUAUGAGGCGAGCGUUAUCCGGAUUUACUGGGUGUAAAGCGCGUGCAGGCGGUCUGGUAAGUCGAGCGUGAAAGCUCCCGGCUCAACCGGGAGAGGACGUGCGAAACUGCGAGGCUAGAGACAGGUAGAGGCGUACGGAAUUCCGGGUGUAGUGGUGAAAUGCGUAGAUAUCCGGAGGAACACCAGUGGCGAAGGCGGUACGCUGGGCCUGGUCUGACGCUAAGACGCGAAAGCAUGGGGAGCGAACGGGAUUAGAAACCCCGGUAGUCCAUGCCGUAAACGAUGCUAACUAGGUGUUGCGGGUAAAAGACCGGCAGUGCCGGAGUUAACGCGAUAAGUUAGCCACCUGGGGACUACGGUCGCAAGGCUAAAACUCAAAGGAAUUGACGGGGGCCCGCACAAGCAGCGGAGCGUGUGGUUUAAUUCGAGGCUACACGAAGAACCUUACCUGGGCUUGACAUGACGGUGGUAGGGAACCGAAAGGGGACCGACCUUCGGGAGCCGUCACAGGUGCUGCAUGGCUGUCGUCAGCUCGUGUCGUGAGAUGUUCGGUUAAGUCCGGUAACGAGCGCAACCCUCAUCGCUAGUUACAAGUGUCUAGCGAGACUGCCCGUUCAACGCGGGAGGAAGGCGGGGAUGACGUCAAGUCAGCAUGGCCUUUAUGUCCAGGGCUACACACACGCUACAAUGGCCGGUACAAUGGGUCGCCAACCCGCGAGGGGGAGCCAAUCCACCAAAGCCGGUCACAGUUCGAAUUGCAGGCUGCAACCCGCCUGCAUGAAGUCGGAGUUGCUAGUAACCGCAGGUCAGCUAUACUGCGGUGAUACGUUCCCGGGCCUUGUACACACCGCCCGUCACGUCAUGGGAGCUGGUCAUGCCUGAAGUCGGUGAGCCAACCGCAA